CAGCAGCCGCGGGAAUACAGAGGGUGCGAGCGUUUAUCGGAUUUACUGGGCGUAAAGCGUGCGUAGGCGGCUUUUUAAGUCGGAUGUGAAAUCCCUGAGCUUAACUUAGGAAUUGCAUUCGAUACUGGGAAGCUAGAGUAUGGGAGAGGAUGGUAGAAUUCCAGGUGUAGCGGUGAAAUGCGUAGAGAUCUGGAGGAAUACCGAUGGCGAAGGCAGCCAUCUGGCCUAAUACUGACGCUGAGGUACGAAAGCAUGGGGAGCAAACAGGAUUAGAUACCCCCGUAGUCCCUGUCUCUUAUAA
rnacentral:rRNA from 1 species